rnacentral:siRNA from 1 species
UCGAUGGUAGGAUAGUGGCCU